rnacentral:rRNA from 3 species
UACGGAGGGAGCUAGCGUUGUUCGGAAUUACUGGGCGUAAAGCGCACGUAGGCGGCUUUUCAAGUCAGGGGUGAAAUCCCGGGGCUCAACCCCGGAACUGCCCUUGAAACUGGAUGGCUAGAAUACUGGAGAGGUGAGUGGAAUUCCGAGUGUAGAGGUGAAAUUCGUAGAUAUUCGGAAGAACACCAGUGGCGAAGGCGACUCACUGGACAGUUAUUGACGCUGAGGUGCGAAAGCGUGGGGAGCAAACAGG